rnacentral:rRNA from 1 species
UAUACUGUGAAACUGCGAAUGGCUCAUUAUAUCAGUUAUAGUUUAUUUGAUAGUCCCUACUACUUGGAUAACCGUAGUAAUUCUAGAGCUAAUACAUGCAUCAACUCCCAACUGCUUCGGCGGACGGGAUGUAUUUAUUAGAUGGAAACCAAUACCGAGUUUUCUCGGUUUUUGUGGUGAAUCAUAGUAACUGUGCGAAUCGACUUCGGUCGAUGGUUCAUUCAAGUUUCUGCCCUAUCAGCUUCGGAUGGUAGGGUAUUGGCCUACCAUGGCUUUAACGGGUAACGGAGAAUUGGGGUUCGAUUCCGGAGAGGGAGCCUGAGAAACGGCUACCACAUCCAAGGAAGGCAGCAGGGGCGUAAAUUACUCAAUACCGACGCGGUGAAGUAGUGACGAGAAAUAUCAUUGAGGAGCCCUACGGGUUUUUCAAAUGAAAUGAGAGCAAUCUAAAAACCUCAUCGAGGAUCAAUUGGAGGGCAAGUCUGGUGCCAGCAGCCGCGGUAAUUCCAGCUCCAAUAGCGUA